AUGUUCAGUGGACCGUGACAUUAGAUAAAAACUCUAAUUUGGCAUUAAAAUUAGAAAGAUCAUAUCAUAGGGAACAUGUGUACUAAGUUUGAAGUUGAUUGGACUUCAACUUCAUCAAAACCUACCUUGACCAAAAACUUUAACCUGAAGCGGGACAGACGGACGGACGGACGAACAGACGAACGGACGCACAGACCAGAAAACAUAAUGCCCCUCUACUAUAGUAGGUGGGGC
rnacentral:lncRNA from 1 species